rnacentral:rRNA from 1 species
GUUAGGAAUAUUGGACAAUGGGCGCAAGCCUGAUCCAGCCAUGCCGCGUGAGUGAUGAAGGCCUUCGGGUUGUAAAGCUCUUUAGCCGAUGAUUAUAAUGACUGUAGUCGGAAAAUAAGCCCCGGCUAACUUCGUGCCAGCAGCCGCGGUAAUACGAAGGGGGCGAGCGUUAUUCGGAAUCACUGGGCGUAAAGCGUGCGUAGGCGGCUUUGCAAGUUGGGAGUGAAAGCCCAGGGCUCAACCCUGGAAUUGCUCUCAAAACUGCAAGGCUCGAAUUCGGGAGAGGAUAGCGGAAUUGUCAGUGUAGCAGUGAAAUGCGUAGAUAUUGACAGGAACACCAGUGGCGUAAGCGGCUAUCUGGACCGAUAUUGACGCUGAGGCACGAAAGCGUGGGGAUCAAACAGGAUUAGAUACCCUAGUAGUCC